UACAACAGGAGGUCAUAAAUGAUGUCCAAA
rnacentral:piRNA from 1 species